rnacentral:snoRNA from 1 species
CCGGAGACUAAGAAAAGAGAGUCCUUGAAGUCAAGCUGGCUUUGCUUCUAGUCUCCUAAAUGAACAGGUAGAUAGAGCAGGUCUUGUGGGCGAAAUAAAUUCAAGACUCACAUAUCGACCAACAGCA